rnacentral:rRNA from 1 species
AUUGAACGCUGGCGGCAUGCUUUACACAUGCAAGUCGAACGGCAGCGGGGUAGUGCUUGCACUACUGCCGGCGAGUGGCGAACGGGUGAGUAAUAUAUUGGAACGUACCGAGUAAUGGGGGAUAACCAAUCGAAAGAUUGGCUAAUACCGCAUACGCUCUGAGGAGGAAAGCAGGGGACCUUCGGGCCUUGCGUUAUUCGAGCGGCCAAUAUCUGAUUAGCUAGUUGGUGGGGUAAAGGCCUACCAAGGCGACGAUCAGUAGCGGGUCUGAGAGGAUGAUCCGCCACACUGGGACUGAGACACGGCCCAGACUCCUACGGGAGGCAGCAGUGGGGAAUUUUGGACAAUGGGCGCAAGCCUGAUCCAGCCAUGCCGCGUGUCUGAAGAAGGCCUUCGGGUUGUAAAGGACUUUUGUUAGGGAAGAAAAAGGAGCGGUUAAUACCCGUUUCUGCUGA